rnacentral:rRNA from 1 species
UACGGGGGGUGCGAGCGUUGUCCGGAAUCACUGGGCGUAAAGGGCGCGUAGGUGGUCUGAUAAGGGUGUGGUGAAAGUCCGGGGCUCAACCCCGGAUCUGCCGUGCCGACUGUCAGACUCGAGGACUGUAGAGGCAGGCGGAAUUCGGGUGUAGCGGUGGAAUGCGUAGAGAUCGGGAGGAACACCCGUGGCGAAGGCGACACACUGGCCCGUUACUGACGCUGAGGCGCGAAAGCUAGGGGAGCGAACGGG